UGUGGCCUACGGGGGGCAGCAGUGGGGAAUAUUGCACAAUGGGGGAAACCCUGAUGCAGCAACGCCGCGUGAGUGAGGAAGUAUUUCGGUAUGUAAAGCUCUAUCAGCAGGGAAUAGAAAAGAAGGUACCUGAAAAAGAAGCCCCGGCUAACUACGUGCCAGCAGCCGCGGUAAUACGUAGGGAGCAAGCGUUAUCCGGAUUUAUUGGGUGUAAAGGGUGCGUAGACGGAGAAGCAAGUUAGUUGUGAAAUCCCUCGGCUUAACUGAGGAACUGCAACUAAAACUACUUCCCUUGAGUACUGGAG
rnacentral:rRNA from 1 species